AUGUAUGGAUGUGAGAUUUUCACCAUAAAGAAGGCUGAGUGCCUGACGUGAAAUUAGCAUGUUGACAAGUCUAACACUGAAGAA
ensembl:snoRNA